rnacentral:rRNA from 1 species
UACGAAGGGGGCUAGCGUUGUUCGGAAUUACUGGGCGUAAAGCGCACGUAGGCGGACUUUUAAGUCAGCGGUGAAAUCUCCGGGCUCAACCCGGAAACUGCCAUUGAUACUAUUGGUCUUGAAUGUUGUUGAGGUGGGCGGAACGGGUCAUGUAGCGGUGAAAUGCAUAGAUAUGACCCGGAACACCGAUUGCGAAGGCAGCCCACUAAGCAACGAUUGACGCUGAGGCACGAAAGCGUGGGGAUCAAACAGG